UACGUAGGGUGCAAGCGUUGUCCGGAAUUAUUGGGCGUAAAGAGCUCGUAGGCGGUUCGUCGCGUCGGCUGUGAAAUCCCGAGGCUCAACCUCGGGUCUGCAGUCGAUACGGGCGGACUGGAGUUCGGCAGGGGAGACUGGAAUUCCCGGUGUAGCGGUGAAAUGCGCAGAUAUCAGGAGGAACACCGGUGGCGAAGGCGGGUCUCUGGGCCGAUACUGACGCUGAGGAGCGAAAGCGUGGGGAGCAAACAGG
rnacentral:rRNA from 1 species